rnacentral:rRNA from 1 species
AGAGUUUGAUCCUGGCUCAGGACGAACGCUGGCGGCGCGCCUAACACAUGCAAGUCGAACGAGCGACAGAGAGCUUGCUUAUCUCGAGCGAGUGGCGAACGGGUGACUAACGCGUGAUGAACCUGCCUCAAAGAGGGGGACCACAGUUGGAAACAUACUGCUAGUACCGCAUAAUCCCACAGCUCGGCAUCUAUCAGAGGGAAUAUGAGCAAUCCGCUUUGAGAUGGCCUCGCGUCCGAUUACCUGGUUGGUGAGGUAACGGCCCACCAUGGCAACUAUCGGUAGCCGGACUGAGAGGUCGAACGGACACGUUGGUACUGAGACUCGGCCCAGACUCCUACGGGAGGCAUCAGUGGGGAAUAUUGCACAAGGGUGGAGACCCUGAUGCAACGACCCCGCGUGGAGGAACAAGGUCUUCGAAUUGUGAACUCCUGUUGUUGAGGAAUAUUCUGACGGUACUCAACAUGGAAGUGACGGCUAACUACGUGCCAGCUGCCGCGGUAAAACGUACGUCACAAGCGUUGUCCGGAAUUACUGGGUGUAAAGGGAUCGCACGCGGGAAGACAAUUUGUAAUUGACAUCUAUGGGCUCAACCCAUAAACUGCUUUCAAAACUGUGUCUCUUGAGUAGUGCAUAUGUAGGCGGAAUUCCCGGGCGUAGCGGUGGAAUGCGUAGAUAUCGGGAGGAACACCAGUGGCGAAGGCGGCUAUGUGGGCACCAACAGACGCUGAGGCUCGAAAGUGUGGGUAGCACACAGGAUUAGAUACUGUGGUAGUCCACACCGUAAACGAUGAUUAAUAGGUGUUGGAGGAUCGACCCCUUCAGUGCCGCAGAUAACACAAUAAGUAAUCCACGUGGGGAGUACGACCGCAAGGUUGAUACUCGAAGGAAUUGACGGGGGCCCGCACAAGCAGUGGAGUAUGUGGUAUAAUUCGACGCAACGCGAAGAACCUUACCAAGUCUUGACAUCCUGAGACGAGCAUAGAAAUACGUAUUUCCUUCGGGACGCAGAGACAGGGGGAGCAUGGUUGUCGUCAGCUCGUGUCGUGAGAUGGUGGGAUAAGUCCCGCGACGAGCGCAACCCUUACUGUCAGUUAAUACGCAAGAGGACUCUGGCAGGACUGCCGUUGACUAAACGGAGGAAGGUGGGGAUGACGUCAAAUCAUCAUACCCCCUAUGACUUGGGGUACACACGUACUACAAUGGCGUUGGACCAAGAGAAGCAAGACCGCGAGGUGGAGCCAAAUUCAGAAACCACAUCCCAGUUCGGACUGCAGGCUGCAACUCGCCUGCACGAAGUCGGAAUUGCUAGUAAUCGUGGAUCAGCAUGCCACGGUGAAUACGUUCCCGGGUCCUUGUACACACCGCCCGUC